rnacentral:lncRNA from 1 species
GAAUAUGCAUCAGAAUCACCUGAAGGGACUUUCCAAUUAUGUUCUUUCUUCCUCCUAAGGUCUGAGCAUACUAGGAUCUUCCUGUUGGGACUCAGCUCUCCAGGCUCACCGGCAGUCUUUGACACAUACAGGGAAUCUGAAGACUUCUCAUAAAGGGAGAGAAGCUGAACAUUGCACAUAUCUCUCCUCUCCACUGCUCCUGAUUGUAUAACAUCUGUUCAGCAACAAAAGUGGCCAACUGAAAACCCGAACAAAGCUUCUGCUGGUCACUGACAUCGCAGUGGUCUCCAGGCGGUCAGUCUCACGAAGUCCUGAGGCCUGUCCUCAGGCGCUGGCCAGGAACCUGGCGUCCACACUCUCCACGCCUGCAGGCUGCUCCUCUGGGCAAAGCCUAAGCUCGAGUUGUCAAAGCAGUGAACUGGAUAGGAUGCCGAAAAAACCACUGAGGCCUAGGCGAGUCCUUUGGCGCGGGAUCCUGUACAUUGGGUUCCCUGCCCUGAGCAGGGAUGUUGGGGCUCUUCUAGGAUAG